UGAGAAUGGCAUGCUUCGCUUCGGUUUGUCUUCGAUGCAGGGUUGGCGUGCUUCUAUGGAAGAUGUUGUAACUAUUCUUUUCUUAUAAGCACCUAAUAAACUUAUAAGAGAUUUUCUAUAUGCUAGGUAUUAAAUACACAUCUCAAUAUAACUGCUCUCAUAAGUUAUAAACUAAUCUAAACAAAACCGGGUUUCUAUUUUGUUAGAUUAAUUUAGAAUGGGAUAGAAAUGCCGUUUUGAUCUUCUUUACAUAUAGAAUGCUG
rnacentral:lncRNA from 1 species